rnacentral:lncRNA from 1 species
GAAGGUGACUGGAAGGUGCAUGGGAGGAAUGGAGACUCUAGCCUUACUUUCUGUUCUAUGGUUGAAAAUGGCAGCAGCAGAUGAUGCAAGAAUCCUUGGCUACUGAGUGUUCUGGGCAAAGUAGAGCUUGCCUACCCUCCAGACCCACGUGGGGCUGCUGGACAAUGACAGGAGGUAAAACCGUGGGGGAAAGAAUGUUACCAACUGAGAUGUUUUUCUUGGUGGAGGUAGUGGUGUUAGUGGUCCCCUCUCUCUUUUUUGCAGU